UUAAGCGACUAAGCGUACACGGUGGAUGCCCUGGCAGUCAGAGGCGAUGAAGGACGUGCUAAUCUGCGAUAAGCGUCGGUAAGGUGAUAUGAACCGUUAUAACCGGCGAUUUCCGAAUGGGGAAACCCAGUGUGUUUCGACACACUAUCAUUAACUGAAUCCAUAGGUUAAUGAGGCGAACCGGGGGAACUGAAACAUCUAAGUACCCCGAGGAAAAGAAAUCAACCGAGAUUCCCCCAGUAGCGGCGAGCGAACGGGGAGCAGCCCAGAGCCUGAAUCAGUGUGUGUGUUAGUGGAAGCGUCUGGAAAGGCGCGCGAUACAGGGUGACAGCCCCGUACACAAAAAUGCACAUGCUGUGAGCUCGAUGAGUAGGGCGGGACACGUGGUAUCCUGUCUGAAUAUGGGGGGACCAUCCUCCAAGGCUAAAUACUCCUGACUGACCGAUAGUGAACCAGUACCGUGAGGGAAAGGCGAAAAGAACCCCGGCGAGGGGAGUGAAAAAGAACCUGAAACCGUGUACGUACAAGCAGUGGGAGCACAGAGCAAUCUGUGUGACUGCGUACCUUUUGUAUAAUGGGUCAGCGACUUAUAUUCUGUAGCAAGGUUAACCGAAUAGGGGAGCCGAAGGGAAACCGAGUCUUAACUGGGCGUUAAGUUGCAGGGUAUAGACCCGAAACCCGGUGAUCUAGCCAUGGGCAGGUUGAAGGUUGGGUAACACUAACUGGAGGACCGAACCGACUAAUGUUGAAAAAUUAGCGGAUGACUUGUGGCUGGGGGUGAAAGGCCAAUCAAACCGGGAGAUAGCUGGUUCUCCCCGAAAGCUAUUUAGGUAGCGCCUCGUGAAUUCAUCUCCGGGGGUAGAGCACUGUUUCGGCAAGGGGGUCAUCCCGACUUACCAACCCGAUGCAAACUGCGAAUACCGGAGAAUGUUAUCACGGGAGACACACGGCGGGUGCUAACGUCCGUCGUGAAGAGGGAAACAACCCAGACCGCCAGCUAAGGUCCCAAAGUCAUGGUUAAGUGGGAAACGAUGUGGGAAGGCCCAGACAGCCAGGAUGUUGGCUUAGAAGCAGCCAUCAUUUAAAGAAAGCGUAAUAGCUCACUGGUCGAGUCGGCCUGCGCGGAAGAUGUAACGGGGCUAAACCAUGCACCGAAGCUGCGGCAGCGACGCUUAUGCGUUGUUGGGUAGGGGAGCGUUCUGUAAGCCUGUGAAGGUGUGCUGUGAGGCAUGCUGGAGGUAUCAGAAGUGCGAAUGCUGACAUAAGUAACGAUAAAGCGGGUGAAAAGCCCGCUCGCCGGAAGACCAAGGGUUCCUGUCCAACGUUAAUCGGGGCAGGGUGAGUCGACCCCUAAGGCGAGGCCGAAAGGCGUAGUCGAUGGGAAACAGGUUAAUAUUCCUGUACUUGGUGUUACUGCGAAGGGGGGACGGAGAAGGCUAUGUUGGCCGGGCGACGGUUGUCCCGGUUUAAGCGUGUAGGCUGGUUUUCCAGGCAAAUCCGGAAAAUCAAGGCUGAGGCGUGAUGACGAGGCACUACGGUGCUGAAGCAACAAAUGCCCUGCUUCCAGGAAAAGCCUCUAAGCAUCAGGUAACAUCAAAUCGUACCCCAAACCGACACAGGUGGUCAGGUAGAGAAUACCAAGGCGCUUGAGAGAACUCGGGUGAAGGAACUAGGCAAAAUGGUGCCGUAACUUCGGGAGAAGGCACGCUGAUAUGUAGGUGAAGUCCCUCGCGGAUGGAGCUGAAAUCAGUCGAAGAUACCAGCUGGCUGCAACUGUUUAUUAAAAACACAGCACUGUGCAAACACGAAAGUGGACGUAUACGGUGUGACGCCUGCCCGGUGCCGGAAGGUUAAUUGAUGGGGUCAGCGCAAGCGAAGCUCUUGAUCGAAGCCCCGGUAAACGGCGGCCGUAACUAUAACGGUCCUAAGGUAGCGAAAUUCCUUGUCGGGUAAGUUCCGACCUGCACGAAUGGCGUAAUGAUGGCCAGGCUGUCUCCACCCGAGACUCAGUGAAAUUGAACUCGCUGUGAAGAUGCAGUGUACCCGCGGCAAGACGGAAAGACCCCGUGAACCUUUACUAUAGCUUGACACUGAACAUUGAGCCUUGAUGUGUAGGAUAGGUGGGAGGCUUGGAAGUGUGGACGCCAGUCUGCAUGGAGCCGACCUUGAAAUACCACCCUUUAAUGUUUGAUGUUCUAACGUUGACCCGUAAUCCGGGUUGCGGACAGUGUCUGGUGGGUAGUUUGACUGGGGCGGUCUCCUCCUAAAGAGUAACGGAGGAGCACGAAGGUUGGCUAAUCCUGGUCGGACAUCAGGAGGUUAGUGCAAUGGCAUAAGCCAGCUUGACUGCGAGCGUGACGGCGCGAGCAGGUGCGAAAGCAGGUCAUAGUGAUCCGGUGGUUCUGAAUGGAAGGGCCAUCGCUCAACGGAUAAAAGGUACUCCGGGGAUAACAGGCUGAUACCGCCCAAGAGUUCAUAUCGACGGCGGUGUUUGGCACCUCGAUGUCGGCUCAUCACAUCCUGGGGCUGAAGUAGGUCCCAAGGGUAUGGCUGUUCGCCAUUUAAAGUGGUACGCGAGCUGGGUUUAGAACGUCGUGAGACAGUUCGGUCCCUAUCUGCCGUGGGCGCUGGAGAACUGAGGGGGGCUGCUCCUAGUACGAGAGGACCGGAGUGGACGCAUCACUGGUGUUCGGGUUGUCAUGCCAAUGGCACUGCCCGGUAGCUAAAU
rnacentral:rRNA from 1 species